rnacentral:rRNA from 1 species
CCUACGGGUGGCAGCAGUGGGGAAUAUUGGUCAAUGGACGAGAGUCUGAACCAGCCACGUAGCGUGAAGGAUGACUGCCCUAUGGGUUGUAAACUUCUUUUAUAUGGGAAUAAAAUGUUCCACGUGUGGGAUUUUGUAUGUACCAUAUGAAUAAGGAUCGGCCAACGCCGUGCCAGCAGCCGCGGUAAUACGGAGGAUCCGAGCGUUAUCCGGAUUUAUUGGGUUUAAAGGGAGCGUAGGUGGAUUGUUAAGGCAGUUGUGAAAGUUUGCGGCUAAACCGUAAGAUUGCAGUUGAAACUGGUCGUCUUGAGUGAAGUAGAGGUGGGCGGAAUUCGUGGUGUAGCGGUGAAAUGCUUAGAUAUCACGAAGAACUCCGAUGGCGAAGGCAGCUCACUGGACUUCAACUGACACUGAGGCUCGAAAGUGUGGGUAUCAAACAGGAUUAGAUACCCGGGUAGUC